rnacentral:rRNA from 1 species
AAGUUGAAGAGACGGAGCCGUAGGGAAACCGAGUCUUAAUAUGUCGGAUUAGUAUUAUGUCGUAGACCCGAAACAAUGUGACCUACCCAUGAGCAGGUUGAAGGUGCGGUAAGACGCACUGGAUGACCGAACCAGGGCACGUUGAAAAGUGCUUGGAUGACUUGUGGGUAGCGGAGAAAUUCCAAACUAACUUGGAGAUAGCUGGUUCUCUCAGAAAUAGCUUUAGGGCUAGCGUCGACA